rnacentral:rRNA from 1 species
GAUGAACGCUGGCGGCGUGCCUAAUACAUGCAAGUCGAGCGAAUGGAUUAAGAGCUUGCUCUUAUGAAGUUAGCGGCGGACGGGUGAGUAACACGUGGGUAACCUGCCCAUAAGACUGGGAUAACUCCGGGAAACUGGGGCUAAUACCGGAUAACAUUUUGAACCGCAUGGUUCGAAAUUGAAAGGCGGCUUCGGCUGUCACUUAUGGCUGGACCCGCGUCGCAUUAGCUAGUUGGUGAGGUAACGGCUCACCAAGGCAACGAUGCGUAGCCGACCUGAGAGGGUGAGCGGCCACACUGGGACUGAGACACGGCCCAGACUCCUACGGGAGGCAGCAGUAGGGAAUCUUCCGCAAUGGACGAAAGUCUGACGGAACAACGCCGCGUGAGUGAUGAAGGCUUUCGGGUCGUAAAACUCUGUUGUUAGGGAAGAACAAGUGCUAGUUGAAUAAGCUGGCACCUUGACGGUACCUAACCAGAAAGCCACGGCUAACUACGUGCCAGCAGCCGCCGUAA